UCUGUCUCCAGGAGUGCCUGGCAGUCCUCACUGUCAUAGCCGCUGCCUGGGGGACAGCAGAGAGGACUUGGUGACCGGUGUUGGACCUGGCUAGAGUAUGGCCAAUGAAGACACUGUCAUCUUCUGGGCUGCUCAGAGACUUCACUUGGAUCUGGUGGUUGUGACCCCUGUGCACCCACCCGUCCUUCAGCCCCCCGGUGACCAAGGCCCAGGCUCCAGUCACACCACCAACUUGCCUGCCUCGUGGGCCACAGCCACUGCUGGUUGGGUUUGGAAUUUGGGCAUCUCCCUGCCACUGUCCCCAUUGGGGUGUGGAUGCCGUGCCGCCCCUGACACCUUGACACUCUUGGCUCUAGAGAGCUUCUUCCGGAUGCGCCCACCUGGGGCGGCCUCUUUGCGCUGGAAGGCACUGAGGCUGGCUGGCAGCCCCUUGCUCUUGACCUUUGGCUUCAACUGGGCCACCUUGUGGGCCAUUGAGGAUGACAACUCGGCUGGGCCACAGCUCUUCUUGCACCGCACCUUCUCCUGUGAAUGGAAGUGUCAACCACAGAUGCGGUCCCCUCCUCAGCCUCGGCCCCCUGCCUCAGCCCAGGGCCUGUAGGUUUCCCCUGUCAUGGUGGGACCCAGAAAACAGCACCGCUGGGGACAUCUGGCCUUGGCUGCUUACUGGAGGAAACACCGAACCUGUCUACUUAGCACCCCCUCCACCCACAUAUAAACUUUAUAUGAUAGAAUGGGUGGGGGCCCAGGAGCCAGAAGGUUCUGUUUAUCACGGGUACAUUUGCUGUUUGCUUUUGUGAAAUGGAAAGGCUAAAAAGAAGAGUUCCCUAGGCAGAA